rnacentral:misc_RNA from 1 species
CACAAUUAAAAUAUGAAGGCUGUACGGGCUGGGCAGUUUUGGAGGUGAAUUAUUAUCACCCUUGUCUUUUGCGCACUUGUUGUUUCCUGGGCGGGUUCGCCCGCCACCAGGACCACAUCAUAAACCUUUUUUAUGCAGUUGCAAUCAGCGUCAGUAUGACAAAUGUAAAUCAUUUA